rnacentral:lncRNA from 1 species
NNNNNNNNNNNNNNNNNNNNNNNNNNNNNNNNNNNAAAAAUAAGCCCGAGCUGCGGGCUCGGAGCGUUUAAAACAAUGAGCCCCGAAGGUGUUAAACAAACCAAACAAAAAAAAAAGAAAAAUAAAAAUAAAAAAUCGCCUCUGUCGCAGCGCAAACCCGCCUGAAAGUUAAUUUCCAGCAAUUGGAGUUUAAUUUACCUGACUUCCCGCGCAGCGCGUAAUAACCUGGUUAAUGGCAGCUCGGAAAAGCGGCAAUAAUCAUCUGCCUUUGUUCCAUUAAGCAGCGCGGCUAAUUAUUAACGCGAAAAUCAGGGAAAAAAAACAAAAAGCGGGGGAGCGAGGAGGGGGAGCGGGGGGACUUUGAGGGAACCCAAAGGCGCCCAGAGCCGAAUAUUUCCCCCCUGGGAAGGGAGAGGGGGUGAAAUGAGUGGGGAGAGGGGAGCGCGGUGGGAAUUCCAGCGCGGAACAACUCCAGCGCGGCUGCGGCUGCUCCCAGCACGAAAUCCAUUGAUUUCCCUUUUUUUUUUUUUUUCCUGCUGGUUUUUUGGGGUUUUUUUCUUUUUUGGAGUUUCUCCCAGAGCCUCGGAGCGCGGCAUUUUCUGGGGGGGAAAAACCAGAAUGAUCGCGGAGCCGAACAGUUGCCAGGAAACUGCGGGGCAGGAGGAGAAAACGAGAAGGGGGAAAAGGAGCGGGAGGGAGGGAGGGAGGGAGCUCUGGCAAUACCAGGCGCGCAUUGUCCUGCCGGGCCUACAGAAACUUAAAAGUGACCCCUCGUCUGCCCCUGUCCCCAGCCCCGAGCGGCCGCUGCGGGCCAGGGAGGGGCCAAGGCUCCCCUGCCUGGCAUUUUAUUGCGUUUUAUUGCACUUUAUGGCGUUUUAUUGCGGUUUAUUGCGUUUUAUUGCGGAUUAUUGCGGAUUAUUUCUCUUUAUUUCUUCUUAUUUCUUUAUGGUUUUUUUUUCAUUCUGUUUUUAUUGUAUGUCAUUGUAUUUCUUCUUUAUUUUAUUUUUCUCAUUUUCUUUCUUCUUCUUUAUUUUUUUUAAUCUUAGUCCGCUUUAUUCCACUUUAUUCCCACCUUAUUUCAUUUUAUUCCACCUUAUUCCAUUUUAUUCCACUUUAUUCCAUUUUAUUCCACUUUAUUUCAUUUUAUUCCACCCUAUUCCAUUUUAUUCCACCUUAUUCCAUUUUAUUCCACCUUAUUCCAUUUUAUUCCACCUUAUUCCAUUUUAUUCCAUCUUAUUCCACCUUAUCCCAUUUUAUUCCAUCUUAUUUCUCCUUAUUUCUUUCACUUUACAUUUUUUUCAUUUUAUUUCCAUUUUUUCCCUAUUUUUCCCCCUUUUUUUUUUAAUGCUGAGCUGCCAAACUCCCCCACCCCUGGGCCCAGCUCAGCCCCGCCGCGUUCCUCCGCACCCGCGCACCCAAACUCUGCCAUCCCGGUGGGAUUUCCCAUCCCCGCGCCCACCUUUGGGGCUGUUGCGACAGAAAAAAAAACCCCUCAGCUCGCUCCGACCUCCC